rnacentral:rRNA from 1 species
GAGGGMAAGYCUGGUGCCAGCAGCCGCGGUAAUUCCAGCUCCAGUAGCGUAUAUUAAAGUUGUUGCAGUUAAAAAGCUCGUAGUUGGAUUUGUUGCGGCGGUUUUUGGUGGCCUUUGCUUUUGUGUUCUCGGCUUUUUUUUAAGGCUGGGUUGACAGGAGUGGGUCACACGCCGCAAUCCUUGAUGUUUUUGAUUGUUCCUUUAUCGGACUUUCAAGUGACAUCAUCCUUUACUUUGAAAAAAUUGGAGUGAUUCAAGCAGGCGAAAUUAACAUGGCGAAUUUCAAAUUCGUUGAUUUAUUCAUUUUUGCUUCUGCACAUGUUAGCAUGGAAUAAUGCAAGAGGACUUGGGUUUUCUCUUUCAUUGGUUUCAGGAAUCCGAGUAAUGAUUGAUAGGGACAGUUGGGGGUGCUCGUACUCGACGGCCAGAGGUGAAAUUCUUGGAUUCGUUGAAGACGAACAACUGCGAAAGCAUUCACCAAGGAUGUCUUCUUUAAUCAAGAACGAAAGUUGGGGGAUCGAAGAUGAUCAGAUACCGUCGUAGUCCCAACCAUAAACGAUGCCGACCAGGGAUCAGCGAGCGUUGACUUUGCACACUUUGGUUGACCUUUUUUGGUGAACCGGGUGUUGCAAACCUCAUUAAUUUGAAACGACCUCGUUGGCACCUUGCGAGAAAUCACCAGUCUUUGGGCUCCGGGGGGAGUAUGGUCGCAAGGCUGAAACUUAAAGGAAUUGACGGAAGGGCACAACCAGCAGUGGAGCCUGCGGUUUAAAUUGACUCAACACGGGAAAACUUACCAGGUCCAGACAUCAUAAGGAUUGACAGAUUGAAGAUCUUUCUUGAUUUGAUGGUUGGUGGUGCAUGGCCGUUCUUAGUUGGUGGAGUGAUUUGUCUGGUUAAUUCCGUUAACGAACGAGACCUCAACCUGCCAAAUAGGUUGGUUCGUUGGAUGUUGCUUUUACGCUUUUCUGACGGACGUCGUUGCUUUGUUGGUCUGAUUUUUUUUUUUUAAAUCUUAUCAGCGCACGACCGGACUACUGAGUGUUAAAACUCUGUAUGUUCUGCAACACUUCUUGGGGGGACUAUCAGUUCGCAUCUGAUGGAGGUUUGAGGCAAUAACAGGUCUGUGAUGCCCUUCGAUGUCCUGGGCUACACGCGCGCUACACUGAUACAUGCAUCAAGCAGUUCAAUUUUAUGGUUGGUUCCUUUUUUGGGAUCAAUCUGACACCUUUGCUGAUAAGCUUGGGGAAUCUUUGAACUUGUAUCGUGAUGGGGAUAGAUGAUUGCAAUUAUUCAUCUUCAACGAGGAAUUCCUAGUAAACGCGGCUCAUCAAGCCGCAUUGAAUACGUCCCUGCCCUUUGUACACACCGCCCGUCGCUGCUACCGAUUGAAUGGUUCAGCAAGUUUUACGGACUGGCUUCCUUGUUUUGUCGUAUGAUGAGACUGGGUUGAAUGGGGGUUUUCUCUCAUUCUUUUUUGCCGGGAAGUGACACAAACUUGACCAUUUAGAGGAAGCAAAAGUCGUAACAAGG